GCGCCCGUAGCUCAGUUGGAUAGAGUAUCUGGCUACGAACCAGGAGGUCGGAGGUUCGAAUCCUUCCGGGCGCGCCA
rnacentral:tRNA from 3 species